UACGCAGGGGGCUAGCGUUGUCCGGAUUUAUUGGGCGUAAAGAGCGUGUAGGCGGCCAGGUGGGUCUGGUGUGAAAACUCGAGGCUUAACCUCGAGAUGUCAUCGGAAACCAUCUGGCUAGAGUCCGGAAGAGGAGAGUGGAAUUCCUGGUGUAGCGGUGAAAUGCGCAGAUAUCAGGAAGAACACCAAUGGCGAAAGCAGCUCUCUGGGACGGUACUGACGCUGAGACGCGAAAGCGUGGGGAGCGAACAGG
rnacentral:rRNA from 1 species